UGUAAGCGUAUACCAAAGUUGUUGCAGUUAAAACGCUCGUAGUCGGAAUUUGGCAGUUCCGGAAGUGUGCACGUCGUGUGCGCACUUUGCGGGGACUGCUUUUGUGGUCUUGCGUAGGAUGAGGCACUUUCAUUAGUGAACGUCCUCACGCAACCACUCUUUACUGUGAGAAAAUCAGAGUGCUCAAAGCAGGCAUUUGCCGUGAAUGUAUUAGCAUGGAAUAAUAGAAUAGGACUCGGUUCUAUUUUGUCGGUUUGUUGGGACUGAGUAAUGAUUAAGAGGGACAGUUGGGGGCAUUUGUAUUCCGGCGCUAGAGGUGAAAUUCUUAGAUUGCCGGAAGACAAACUGCUGCGAAAGCGUCUGCCAAGGAUGUUUUCAUUGA
rnacentral:rRNA from 1 species